rnacentral:pre_miRNA from 1 species
CCUUUCGAUCCAAUUCAGGAGAGGAAGUGGUAGGAUGCAGCUGCCGGUUCAUGGAUACCUCUGUAGUGCAGGGCAAAUAGUACUACCCUUUCAUGGGUUUGCAUGACUCGGGAGAUGAACCCGCCAUUGUCUUCCUCUAUUGAUUGGAUUGAAGGG